CCUAAAUUUUGAGAAUAUAAAAUACGCCACAAAAGUGUAAACAACAAACAUCUACCAAUUUUUCUGCCUUUUAUUUAGUUUAUUUAUUUAUUGUGCAUUUGUUGUGUUAUUACGAUAAUAAUUAGUUGUUAUUAAUAAAUAAUUGAAAAAAUAAAAUUUAUACAUUGGUAAUUUAUUGGAUCCACCGUUAAGAUCAAGAUUUCAAGCACGAGAUGUAUCCCAUCUUAGUUACCAGCUUGGUGCGAACUUUGGGUGCAGGACGUGGUUUUGUUUGUACAGAUUGCAGUGAAUUGCCACAGAUUUUAAAACAAAUUUUUACAGCAUCUGUUCUACGAUAACGAUAACGAUAGCGAUAACG